UCCCUCCCCUCCCCCUGCCCGUGUGGGUCUCGCGUGCGGCCGGCUUUGCCUGCGUGAGCCUGCACACCCGCCAGACCGGCCCCUUUUGUUCACCUGACCUCUACCUUGCGCUGACCCCGGCCCGGGGUGCGGAAGCGUCCUGCAGACACAGCCCAGGCAGGGCGGCUCAAGGUGUGCGGGCUGAGAGGUCGCUCCCUAACUCCGCAGAGCCUGCCACCCUGCGCCUCCCUUCUCUCUCUCUCUCUCAAGAUCUCCCUCCCUGCUAAGUCUUCGAUGCUGCAGGAGGGCUGGGGGAAGGGCAAGGGUGCGGAGAGGGGGUGCCUGGUGUCUUCUUUCUCUCCGUUCCCCCCACCCCCGCCCCCCAAGUGCGGACGAGUCGGGAGCCGGGCCUCCCCCACCCCUGCGCUCGCGAUUGGCUCGGGGAGAAGGAUGGGCUGCCGCGGCUGCAGCACCAUCUCUCUGGGAGCCGCACGGGGCGCACCGUACCCGGGAGCCGCGACCCUGCGCCCACGGCCGCCGUCGCCAGCCCGGCCGGAGGGGCUCCGCGAGACGGGGCCUGAGCCCUGCCCUCGGGCCCUGGCUCUUGGGAGGCCGAAUCACCAGGGACCCGCCCAGGAAGCCGCCCAGCUGCUGCCCAGGGUGACACCAAAGGACCUGGUGGUUGAGAGUCUGGAGACUCCCAGAGGGUCAAGCCUCUAGCGUGGGGAGGGAGCCAGCAAGGACGGCCGGGGCCAGAGGCAGGUAUGAGCGUGAUCCAGUGCAGGAGGACAUGUGGGAUGGAGGUGGAGUGACCCAGGUAUUUUUAACAGCAGGGCGGUGAGGGCAGCUGUCCCUAGAACUUCACAGGUGCCCGUGGGGACUUGGGAGGCUGAAGGACACCCAGGACAGACACGCAGCUCUGGGCCCGUCCCCCUGGCAGGCCUGCACGCCAUGGGUCAUGCCCACAUAUGGCGACCAGGCUGCGUGUCCCCCCAGCCGCCCGUCCACCAUGGCUGGUAUAAAUAGUUAGUCCACAUUCUCAGCUGUCCUAUUGGAGAGGCUGAACUUGGAUGAACCCGGGAUGGCCCCCUUGCGCCCCGCCCGCCACUGGAGUGCCCGGGACCGCAGCUGCAGUGGCGACGACAGGACGGGCGGUGAGGCUCUGGGCUCUGCCCCCCC
rnacentral:lncRNA from 1 species